UACGAAGGGGGCUAGCGUUGCUCGGAAUCACUGGGCGUAAAGGGUGCGUAGGCGGGUCUUUUAAGUCAGGGGUGAAAUCCUGGAGCUCAACUCCAGAACUGCCUUUGAUACUGAGGAUCUUGAGUACGGGAGAGGUGAGUGGAACUGCGAGUGUAGAGGUGAAAUUCGUAGAUAUUCGCAAGAACACCAGUGGCGAAGGCGGCUCACUGGCCCGGUACUGACGCUGAGGUGCGAAAGCGUGGGGAGCAAACAGG
rnacentral:rRNA from 1 species